UACAGAGGGUGCUAGCGUUGUUCGGAAUCAUUGGGCGUAAAGGGCUCGUAGGCGGUUUGUCGCGUCGGGAGUGAAAUCCACUGGCUUAACUGGUGGCUUGCUUUCGAUACGGGCAGACUGGAGGUAUGCAGGGGAGAACGGAAUUCCUGGUGUAGCGGUGAAAUGCGCAGAUAUCAGGAGGAACACCGGUGGCGAAGGCGGGACUCUGGGCCGAUACUGACGCUGAGGAGCGAAAGCGUGGGGGAGCGAACAGG
rnacentral:rRNA from 1 species